GAAUUUUAUAUAAGUUUUAAAAUAGUUUAUAAUUAAAGAAGAUUUUUUAUUUAGGAUUUAUAUUUAGUUGGGAGGAUUAUUAAAUUGAAUAAACUUUAAUAAAAAUUGAAAACAUUAAUUUAUGAAAUAAAUAGUUUGUUUGGAUUAAGAUUUUUUAUGAAUUUUAUAGAAGAAUUAAUUACCUUAGGGAUAACAGCGUAAUAUUUUUAGAAAGAUCUUAUUAAUAAAAAUGAUUGC
rnacentral:rRNA from 1 species